GAUGAACGCUAGCUACAGGCUUAACACAUGCAAGUCGAGGGGCAGCAUGGUCUUAGCUUGCUAAGGCCGAUGGCGACCGGCGCACGGGUGAGUAACACGUAUCCAACCUGCCGUCUACUCUUGGACAGCCUUCUGAAAGGAAGAUUAAUACAAGAUGGCAUCAUGAGUCCGCAUGUUCACAUGAUUAAAGGUAUUCCGGUAGACGAUGGGGAUGCGUUCCAUUAGAUAGUAGGCGGGGUAACGGCCCACCUAGUCUUCGAUGGAUAGAGGUUCUGAGAGGAAGGUCCCCCACAUUGGAACUGAGACACGGUCCAAACUCCUACGGGAGGCAGCAGUGAGGAAUAUUGGUCAAUGGGCGAGAGCCUGAACCAGCCAAGUAGCGUGAAGGAUGACUGCCCUAUGGGUUGUAAACUUCUUUUAUAAAGGAAUAAAGUCGGGUAUGGAUACCCGUUUGCAUGUACUUUAUGAAUAAGGAUCGGCUAACUCCGUGCCAGCAGCCGCGGUAAUACGGAGGAUCCGAGCGUUAUCCGGAUUUAUUGGGUUUAAAGGGAGCGUAGAUGGAUGUUUAAGUCAGUUGUGAAAGUUUGCGGCUCAACCGUAAAAUUGCAGUUGAUACUGGAUAUCUUGAGUGCAGUUGAGGCAGGCGGAAUUCGUGGUGUAGCGGUGAAAUGCUUAGAUAUCACGAAGAACUCCGAUUGCGAAGGCAGCCUGCUAAGCUGCAACUGACAUUGAGGCUCGAAAGUGUGGGUAUCAAACAGGAUUAGAUACCCUGGUAGUCCACACGGUAAACGAUGAAUACUCGCUGUUUGCGAUAUACUGCAAGCGGCCAAGCGAAAGCGUUAAGUAUUCCACCUGGGGAGUACGCCGGCAACGGUGAAACUCAAAGGAAUUGACGGGGGCCCGCACAAGCGGAGGAACAUGUGGUUUAAUUCGAUGAUACGCGAGGAACCUUACCCGGGCUUAAAUUGCAGAUGAAUUACGGUGAAAGCCGUAAGCCGCAAGGCAUCUGUGAAGGUGCUGCAUGGUUGUCGUCAGCUCGUGCCGUGAGGUGUCGGCUUAAGUGCCAUAACGAGCGCAACCCUUGUUGUCAGUUACUAACAGGUUCCGCUGAGGACUCUGACAAGACUGCCAUCGUAAGGUGUGAGGAAGGUGGGGAUGACGUCAAAUCAGCACGGCCCUUACGUCCGGGGCUACACACGUGUUACAAUGGGGAGUACAGAGGGCCGCUACCACGCGAGUGGAUGCCAAUCCCCAAAAUCUCUCUCAGUUCGGACUGGAGUCUGCAACCCGACUCCACGAAGCUGGAUUCGCUAGUAAUCGCGCAUCAGCCACGGCGCGGUGAAUACGUUCCCGGGCCUUGUACACACCGCCCGUCAAGCCAUGGGAGCCGGGGGUACCUGAAGUGCGUAACCGCGAGGAGCGCCCUAGGGUAAAACUGGUGACUGGGGCUAAGUCAUAAC
rnacentral:rRNA from 1 species